UUUUAGCGCCAGGAUGGACAGCAGGGUUUAGUGAUUAAUGGAGUCAUUCUAGGUAAGAGUAUUUGGCAGUACAGCUAACGUCUUCCAUGAGCCACAGAGCUAAACAAAAGUAACUCACUCUGACUUGUGAGUUUUGUUCUCAGUAGGAAAACGGAACCAUUCAAAAUAGUAUUUUGUGUGUCUCUUCUUCUGAAAGUAACCUGCCGGGUGCUGCGGUGGAGGUGGGCGUGGGAAGCAGCCUGAGGUCGGUUCGGAGGCUUCCGCAUCAUCCGUCUGGAGCAUCGUCCCCGUCACGCCACAUUCCCAGGACUCAGGAAGGCACAGCAUUGACAGCUCAGGGUCUGUUGUGAUGACUGGUAUUAUUUGCGGGUCCGUCUGAUGCUCGGCCCCACCACCCGCCGAGGCUGCUCCCCGCAGACACACUGCCAGUAAUUAGAGAGGAGCCUGCUUCCCCGGAGCUGUCGCUGCAGGUACUCAGGGCUCCUCUGCGUGCUGGGCACGUUUGAGGACCCUGAAGACACCAAGAUGAGCGGGACAGUCUCCUGUACAAAGGUUCUGCUGCCCUCCCCCCAGUGCCUUUUGGGUGAAAACUACAGCAGGAGAUGGAGAACCCGCAAGUGAAACAAAACCCAGGCCCUUCUGUGUCUUCUCUUCUCUUCUGUGUCAGGUGCUCCCAGGUGGGUCUGUGUCAGGUGCUCCCAGGUGGGUCUGUGUCAGGUGCUCCCAGGUGGCUGUGGUGCCUGAUCUUUGCUGUCCCUUCUCUGCCAUACCUGAGAUUGCAUCGAGAUGGAGUUUUGAAGGCUCUGGGUGCUCAGGGACGAACAGAGUGGACAGCUGCCUCGAAGAAGCAUGUGGGGUAGAUUCUGAUGAAGGUCCCUCAAGGACUUCCACCUCCUCCAGGAAGCCCUUGAGGGCCGGUAGGGCGAGCUGGAGCCCCAUCCCUGUUGCCAGUUGGUGGUGUGCCACAAACUGAAUUAGUUGACCUCAGGGAAAGCAGCCUGCUGACCACCACGUGCUCCGGCCCUAGCUAAGACCGAGGGUAACAUGAAUUGAGUCAUCGUA